rnacentral:rRNA from 1 species
AGUGAACGCUGGCGGUAGGCCUAACACAUGCAAGUCGAACGGCAGCACAGUAAGAGCUUGCUCUUACGGGUGGCGAGUGGCGGACGGGUGAGGAAUACAUCGGAAUCUACUUUUUCGUGGGGGAUAACGUAGGGAAACUUACGCUAAUACCGCAUACGACCUACGGUUGAAAGCAGGGGAUCUUCGGACCUUGCGCGAUUGAAUGAGCCGAUGUCGGAUUAGCUAGUUGGCGGGGUAAAGGCCCACCAAGGCGACGAUCCGUAGCUGGUCUGAGAGGAUGGUCAGCGACACUGGAACUGAGACACGGUCCAGACUCCUACGGGAGGCAGCAGUGGGGAAUAUUGGACAAUGGGCGCAAGCAUGAUCCAGCCAUACCGCGUGGGUGAAGAAGGCCUUCGGGUUGUAAAGACCUUUUGUUGGGAAAGAAAAGCAGCAGGUUAAUACCCCGCUGUUCUGACGGUACCCAAAGAAUAAGCACCGGCUAACUUCGUG